ACUGAAUAGAUACCCGGGUAGUCCGCACCGUAAACGAUGAUCACUUGGUGUUGGAGGUAUUGACCCCUUCAGUGCCGAAAGCUAAACGCGUUAAGUGAUCCGCCUGGGAAGUACGGUCGCAAGAUUAAAACUCAAAGAAAUUGACGGGGGCCCGCACAAGCAGUGGAGCAUGUGGUUCAAUUCGAUGCAACGCGAAAAACCUUACCUGGGUUUGAAGUGCUAGUGAAUGUGGUAGAGAUAUCACAGGCCUUCGGGACACUAGUAUCAGGUGCUGCAUGGCUGUCGUCAGCUCGUGUCGUGAGAUGUCGGGUUAAGUCCCAUAACGAGCGCAACCCCUAUGUUUAGUUGCCAGCAUUAAGUUGGGCACUCUAAACAGACUGCCGGCGUUAAGCCGGAGGAAGG
rnacentral:rRNA from 1 species